UUUCGCCGAUCCAUAUCCAAAUUUCCCAAAAAUAAUCCUUCUACCUAUUUUCCGUUCACGUUUUCUGUUCGGAGCUCACUGUUAAAAACCGAUCUUUCUUUUAUUUAUUUGUGUGUCUGUUUGUGUGUGCCGUAGAUCGCGGUUUGCCCGAGGAGGAGCCCGAGGAGGAGUUUGACCGCGAGCCCUAGCCCGAGGACUAGUACCGCGAGCCGGAACUCCCAGAAGGCUUUGAAGACGGCAAGUCCAAUCUCACCCUUUGAUGCAUACUUAAUACCUAGUUUUUCAAACACAACCUAUUGGCCUGUUUUAUGAAAUGCAUAUUGUUUUAUUGCAAGACAUGGU
rnacentral:lncRNA from 1 species